rnacentral:rRNA from 1 species
GGUGCGCCUUAUGCAUGCAAGUCGAGCGAAGCUUUUCAGUAGUUUACUACAGAAAAUGACUGAGCGGCGAACGGGUGAGUAACGCGUGAGCAACCUACCUUAGUUACUGGGAUAGCCCGAGGAAACUCGGAUUAAUACCGGAUAUUCUUAUUUAAUCACAUGAUUUUUUAAGGAAAGGUCAGCCGAACUAAGAUGGGCUCGCGUUCUAUCAGCUAGUUGGUAGGGUAACGGCCUACCAAGGCUACGACGGAUAGCUGGUCUGAGAGGACGAUCAGCCACACUGGGACUGAGACACGGCCCAGACUCCUACGGGAGGCUGCAGCAGGGAAUAUUGUGCAAUGAACGAAAGUUUGACACAGCGACACCGCGUGUGGGAUGACGGAUCUAGGUUUGUAAACCACUUUCAGGAGGGAAGAAAAUGACGGUACCUCCACAAGAAGCCCCGGCCAAU